GGUCCAUUAGCUCAGUUGGUUAGAGCGUGGUGCUAAUAUGAUUGUGUUACGCCAAGGUCAACAGUUCGACCCUGUUAUGGACCA